rnacentral:rRNA from 1 species
GAGGAGCCCGCGCCGGAUUAGCUAGUUGGUAGGGUAAUGGCCUACCAAGGCGACGAUCCGUAGCCGGCCUGAGAGGGUGACCGGCCACACUGGAACUGAGACACGGUCCAGACUCCUACGGGAGGCAGCAGUGGGGAAUUUUGCGCAAUGGGGGAAACCCUGACGCAGCAACGCCGCGUGGACGAUGAAGGCCUUUGGGUCGUAAAGUCCUGUCAGCAGGGAAAAACACAAUGAUGGUACCUGCAGAGGAAGCUCCGGCUAACUUCGUGCCAGCAGCCGCGGUAAUACGAGGGGAGCAAGCGUUGUUCGGAAUCAUUGGGCGUAAAGGGCGCGUAGGCGGCCAGUACAAGUCUGGGGUGAAAUCCCUCGGCUUAACCGAGGAAUGGCCUUGGAAACUGUAUGGCUGGAGUACUGGAGAGGAAAGCGGAAUUCCCAGUGUAGCGGUGAAAUGCGUAGAUAUUGGGAGG